AACGUGCUCCGGGGUCGGUGUAAGUCCGAACCGGCGGUUAUAGUCCGCGACCCGCAGCUGCCGUUCCACCCGGAACGGAGGCUCGGUUGAACCGGUGGAAUUCCGGUACCGACAGUUAAAGUCUGGAUGGGAGAAGCACGUA
rnacentral:ncRNA from 1 species